CCCGGUGCACCCAGCACUGUUUGCUUACCUCUAUUCCUUUAUAUUCUUUUAAUAAAUCCUAUUUUUUUAUUUAAUCCUAAUUUGAAUCCUGAGCCAUUUAUAACACUAGGCAGAACAAAAAAUGGCCAGGGAUACAGAUAUUCUUAAAGAACAAGAUAGGUGUAUGGACUAGAAUGUACUAACAACCCUGUAUUUUGGGGCAGGAAGAAUCAGGAACUAGCCCACUCCUUUUGCUACAAUAUUGGAAUCUGCUGAGGUAAAGGUACAUCCAGGUGCAUUCUCAAUACUUAUAGCUCUUGUAUAGUUUGCAGCUGAACACAUCAAAUUAGAGCUAAUGAAGAAAUUACUGUCCUCAGUAGGACUGGACUGUGAAAGCCUGAUGUAUAUUUUACUUUAACUGGAGUAGAAGAUUCAAAACGCUAUGACUAGUGUCUUCCCAAACCCUGUGUUACCCACAGAGAGAAGCAUAUGCAGAAGGUGCUAUUGAAAUUAGUCUUAAAAAAAAAAAAAAGCAUUACUUUCAACAAGCAACAAAAAAUAACCAAGUAAAGCUAGAUGGUCUCUUGGCUCCACCCUUGUGAAGUGAAACCUGCCAGGUGUGGAUCAUUUGACUUUUGCUAUAUAGGAAGCCUGAGGACUUGUGGGGAAUUGCCUUCCUGGUGGGGAGUUGGAGGCUCAGGUUCUCUAGGGUGCUUUUCUGCUGUUGUGGUGAAGCGGAUUCAGUGUUCCCUGUGUGGUGAGACCCUGGUGGUGCAAAGUCACUGUGAAGCAGUGUGGAAGUGACUCAAGUUCAGGAGCUGGCAGUGAAAUUACUUCCGUGGCUUCUAAGCUCCCUUUCAAGCUCUUCCAAAUACAAUGAUAAUGAAAGCGAAGAAGAAAGCCCCACCAACUCAGAAGCUCAAGUGCUUACAGGCCUGCGUCUCGGCUGUGGAGAAAGAUUUGGAAGAUCGCGCUGAGGGUCACAUCGCUGAGGUUCCUGCGCCGAGGUGUCGUGGUUUAACCCGGCCGGCAGCUAAACACCACGCAGCCGUUCGCUCAGCCUCCCCCCUCCCUCUCUGGGACGGGGGAGAGAAAUG